UCAUCUCACUCCCACAAGUCAGAGAAGGAAGAGGUAUUUCCACAGGCUCUAUUAGGCCAACUGCUUCCUCUUCUCUCCUCAGAGUUGUCCCUGAACUUGCGAUAUGAGAGGGCUCACCAUGGAUCUGCCUUAUUACCACGGCCCUCUGUCCAAGCAAGACUGUGAGACCUUGUUGCUCAAGGAAGGGGUGGACGGCAACUUUCUGUUAAGAAACAGUGAGUCUACGCCCGGAGUCCUGUGCCUCUGUGUCUCGUUUAAAAAGUUGGUCUACACAUACCGAAUCUUCAAAGAGAAACAUGGGUAUUACAAUAUACAGACCGUGGAAGGCGCUCAAAGACAGACCUUUCCAAACCUAGAGGAACUGAUCUCCAAGUUUGAAAAACCAAAUCAAGGGCUGGUGGUUCACCUUUUAAGGCCAAUAAAGAGAACCUGUCCCUCCCUGAGAUGGAGAAGAUCGAAGAUACAGCUGGAUGGUAUUUAUGAGAACAGUAACAGCGAUUAUGUGGCUGUCUUGCCUUGAAGAUAAGGAGACUGGACAAAGCACUUAUAGAAGAGGUGGGCUGAUAGCUCUCACCAGUGACCCUGCUUCUCCUGCAGGUGUAGGACAGCCUGAACCUAUUCUCCUUGACUUGUUAAAGGUGCCACCACUACAUCACAGUUGACGUCCCCCUUUCAACCACGUGACCAGAGGGGAGAGAAGAGAGAGCGCUGGCUGCUAGUUAGGAGCCUGAGUUCCAGUCCUGGCUCUGUGACUGCAGACCAACCUCUUCCUCUUUCUCUGUUUCUUCAUCUAUAAAACAAGUGGCUAAGCAGAAGGGUACACAAUGCCCCGGCAGAGUUAAGACCUGAUUAGUGUGGAAUGUACCGAAUUCUAUGCCCAUUCUAUCACCCAUCUUCAAACCGUAGUGAUUCAUUUCACCCCACUAGCCUUACCUUUUAAAGUUAUUAAAGAGAGGAACUUAGAUCUCUAGGAAACACGAGCAGACAUUGUGGCUGGAACCCCAAAGCACGAGCCGUUCUGACUUUUGGGUCACAGCAAACCAUAGUAGAGAAGGAGUGCACUGUAGCCAUAUUCAGAGAGCUGAGGGGGCCAAAUCCUUCUGGUUGGUUCGGUAAAGGACACCACAGCAAAACAGCUCUCCAGGGUCCUGGGUCUUUGAUCCUUUCUGCAUGGUACAAAGAAGCAUGUUCCAGUUGUCAGAGCCUGCAGCAAGCCUUGGCACAGAAAAUAUAUUCAGUGACUAUUUCUUAAAUAAAUGACUGAAUAAAUCAA